UGCCAAUGUGGUUGCUGGAAAAAAGCCUCUUCCUAUUCUUGACGGACCUGAUUCCGAGGAGGAGUUCACUUCUAAACCACAUGAAUGGGUAAAAGUGGAAAGGAAGAGGCCUAAAGAGGCAAAGAAAGGCCAUUUGAAGCUCUAUCUAAAAAAGAGGUCAUUUAAAACUCAACUGUCAACUCCAAGAAUGACAACAAAAAAAACGAAAGUUACAAAAACGCCACCAG